CGAUGCCAAAGGGGCCGUAACAGUGAAAACUCGUCGCUGCGGUGGAGACUCGACAUCACCAGCUGCGUCGCUGUCUUCAUCGAACUAAAGAAAGCCUUUUCCUGUAUCUCAGAUGCCACAUGUUAGCUGUCUGCAUAGGAUUUCAUGGAAGAUGUCUGCAGAAAAUCCCUAAAGCUUAAAGUUUGUACCCCCCUUGGCAAGUGGAUCGAG